rnacentral:rRNA from 1 species
GACGAACGCUGGCGGCGUGCUUAACACAUGCAAGUCGAACGGUGAAGCGCCUUCCUUUUUGGUGGGUGUGGAUGAGUGGCGAACGGGUGAGUAACACGUUAGUAACCUGCCCCCUUCUUCUGGAUAACCGCAUGAAAGUGUGGCUAAUACGGGAUAUUCUGGGUCUGUCGCAUGAUGGGUCUGGGAAAGAUAUUGUUUCGGUGGGGGAUGGGCUCGCGGCCUAUCAGCUUGUUGGUGGGGUGAUGGCCUACCAAGGCGGUGACGGGUAGCCGGCCUGAGAGGGUGGACGGUCACACUGGGACUGAGACACGGCCCAGACUCCUACGGGAGGCAGCAGUGGGGAAUAGUGCACAAUGGGCGCAAGCCUGAUGCAGCGACGCCGCGGGAGGGAUGGAGGCCUUCGGGUUGUGAACCUCUUUCGCCAGUGAAGCAGGCCUGCCUCGUUUGUGGGUGGGUUGACGGUAGCUGGAGAAGAAGCGCCGGCUAACUACGUG